rnacentral:rRNA from 1 species
GGAAAGGCCACUUCGGUGGUACUCGAGCGGCGAACGGGUGAGUAACACGUGAGUAAUCUGCCCCUGGCUUUGGGAUAGCCACCGGAAACGGUGAUUAAUACCGGAUAUGACAUGGACUCGCAUGGGUUUGUGUGGAAAGUUUUUCGGCCAGGGAUGUGCUCGCGGCCUAUCAGCUUGAUGGUGAGGUAAUGGCUCACCAUGGCUUCGACGGGUAGCCGGCCUGAGAGGGUGACCGGUCACACUGGGACUGAGACACGGCCCAGACUCCUACGGGAGGCAGCAGUGGGGAAUAUUGGACAAUGGGCGGAAGCCUGAUCCAGCAACGCCGCGUGAGGGAUGACGGCCUUCGGGUUGUAAACCUCUUUCAGUACCGACGAAGCGAAAGUGACGGUAGGUACAGAAGAAGCGCCGGCCAACUACGUGCCAGCAGCCGCGGUAAUACGUAGGGUGCGAGCGUUGUCCGGAAUUAUUGGGCGUAAAGGGCUCGUAGGCGGUUUGUCGCGUCGGGAGUGAAAACGCCGUGCUUAACACGGCGCUUGCUUUCGAUACGGGCAGACUAGAGGUAUGCAGGGGAGAACGGAAUUCCUGGUGUAGCGGUGAAAUGCGCAGAUAUCAGGAGGAACACCGGUGGCGAAGGCGGUUCUCUGGGCAUUACCUGACGCUGAGGAGCGAAAGUGUGGGGAGCGAACAGGAUUAGAUACCCUGGUAGUCCACACCGUAAACGUUGGGCGCUAGGUGUGGGGUCCAUUCCACGGAUUCCGUGCCGCAGCUAACGCAUUAAGCGCCCCGCCUGGGGGAGUACGGCCGCAAGGCUAAAACUCAAAUGAAUUGACGGGG